rnacentral:rRNA from 1 species
GACGAACGCUGGCGGCGUGCUUAACACAUGCCAGUCGAACGAAGCUUGAUUACGGAUUCUUCGGAUGAGGUAUGAUAUGACUGAGUGGCGGACGGGUGAGUAACGCGUGAGUAACCUGCCCUUCAGAGGGGGAUAGCGUUUGGAAACGAACGGUAAUACCGCAUAAUGUAUUUUGACCGCAUGAUCGAAAUACCAAAGAUUUAUCGCUGAAGGAUGGACUCGCGUCUGAUUAGGUAGUUGGUGGGGUAACGGCCUACCAAGCCGACGAUCAGUAGCCGGACUGAGAGGUUGAUCGGCCACAUUGGGACUGAGACACGGCCCAGACUCCUACGGGAGGCAGCAGUGGGGAAUAUUGCACAAUGGGCGCAAGCCUGAUGCAGCAACGCCGCGUGAAGGAAGACGGUUUUCGGAUUGUAAACUUCUGUUCUUAGUGAAGAAUAAUGACGGUAGCUAAGGAGCAAGCCACGGCUAACUACGUG